rnacentral:rRNA from 1 species
GAUGAACGCUGGCGGCGUGCCUAAUACAUGCAAGUCGAGCGAACAGACGAGGAGCUUGCUCCUCUGACGUUAGCGGCGGACGGGUGAGUAACACGUGGAUAACCUACCUAUAAGACUGGGAUAACUUCGGGAAACCGGAGCUAAUACCGGAUAAUAUAUUGAACCGCAUGGUUCAAUAGUGAAAGACGGUUUUGCUGUCACUUAUAGAUGGAUCUGCGCCGCAUUAGCUAGUUGGUAAGGUAACGGCUUACCAAGGCAACGAUGCGUAGCCGACGUGAGAGGGUGGUAGGCCGCACUGGAGCUUGAACGCGCUCCAGGCUCCUGCGGGAGGCAGCAGUAGGGAAUCUUCCGCAAUGGGCGAAAGCCUGACGGAGCAACGCCGCGUGAGUGGUGAAGAUCUUCGGAUCGUAAUACUCUGUUAUUAGGGAAGAACAAAUGUGUAAGUAACUAUACACGUCUUGACGGUACCUAAUAAGAAAGCCACGGCUAACUACGUG